rnacentral:lncRNA from 1 species
AAAAAAGGAAAAAAAAAAUCUCUUAUAGCAAAUUUCAAUCUAUAAAAGCUUUUGGGCUCUUGUUCAAUUUCCUUUUUCAGAAGAUAUUUCAAGUAAGUUGAUUUAUUUGGUAUAACGUAUUGUAGCUAAGUUACUAAGUUCUUCUCUAAUGGAGAAACCCAAUCUUUUGUAAACUUCUAUGUGUUUAUAAAUGAACAAAUUUUCUGCUACAAAUCUUUCAUUAUGAAUUAAGUAUCUUUUUAUUUGCCCAUAAUAAAUGUUUUCUAUUUGUAAAGAAUAAAAUUACACUCCAGAGCAAAACUUAGGUUCCUAAAAAAACCUAAAAGCCUUGAAGAAGGACCUAUGCAUGCCCAAUUUUACUCCUAAAGUACUGUUGUAGUCAAAGAAUAGGCGCUUAGAAAAAAAAAAAAGAGCAUCAUUGUGUUAGGAUUUCCAUGCCCCUAAAACGAAGAAGUUUUUCCAAAAAAAAUUUCAAUUUUAAUUGAAAGGUUUGAUUUUAUACUCUAAACUUAAAAAAAAAAGAAAAAAAAAAGAGGAUAUCGAUUUUGAUUAGUAUUUGUGACAAAACACUUUAUUGCCUAAUCAAUUUGAUAGAAGUUUAUUAAAAGAAUCGGGGAAUAUCCAGAGGAGAAGAAUAAUUGUUUAUAAGAAUUUUUUUUCAAGACCUAGCUUGCAUGCUUUUAGAUAAUUAUAUUUGCUUUACUCUGUAAAAUUGUUCUAUUGAAAUAUUUAGUGAGUAAAUAUAAACAAGUUGAUAAUUUAGGAAGAUUAGCUAUAAUAGGAAGUCAUAUUAAACUAAGGAUUAUUGCAAAUAAAAGAAUAGAAGCAGCAUUUAAUGAAGAAUAUAAUAUAGGAAAUAGUACAAAGAACACCAAUCCGGAAUGAUUAAUAUAGAAGAAGUUAUAAUUAGAAAUAUUAUAAACAGUCCAUCUCUAGAAUUAUUCACAUUCCAUUGUUCGCAACUUAGUAUAUGUGAGUUAGUAAAAAUAUUAAAUUAUCUUUAAAAUGAACAUAAGAGUAAUGCAUAGAAAAAUCCCAAUUACUGAAAUCCAAAUUCCAGUAGUUAAGGGAUUAAUAUUAGAAGUUUGAAAUAGUUGUAAUCCUCAAGUUUAUUGGACUUUUUACAAUUUCUUAGGAAGUUUAGAAAAUAUAGCAAAGAAACCCAUUUCAGGGUUGACUCUGGGCUUGACUCGGGGUAAAUAAUAGCACUCUUAAAUUCAUAUUAUAUGAAAUAUUAAUUUUUUUAUAGUAAAUGAUUUUAAUUCCCAAAAAACACAAUAAUUACAGUAACAUUUUGAUCUCUAUCGGGACCUCGUCGAUCCACACCCGAGGCGUCGAAUUGGAUAAGGCCAUUUUUGCUAAAGCAUGGGCCACUAAGUUACAAGACGUAGGAGUAUAAGUCUUCCGAUAUUGAUU